rnacentral:misc_RNA from 1 species
CGUAGGUGAACCUGCGGAAGGAUCAUUAUUGUAUAACCGAGGUGCGAGGGCUGUCGCUGACCCGAAAGGUCGUGCACGCCCGAGUGCCCUCACACACAUCCAUCUCACCCCUAUGUGCACCACCGCGUGGGUCCCCCUUUGGCUUGUUCGGAGGGGGGCUUACGUUUUCACACAAACUUUGUAUGCAGUGUAGAAUGUAUUUUUUGUUUUUGCGAUCACGCAAUCAAUACAACUUUCAACAACGGAUCUCUUGGCUCUCGCAUCGAUAAAGAACGCAGC